rnacentral:rRNA from 1 species
AUGGCGACCACCUGCACGGUCCUCAACGGCGCCGUGCGUGCCGUGAAGCUGCUCAAGAUCGACAGUUUCCGCCUGGCGUACAAGACCAUGCGCGAAGGUGAGUUCCUCAGAACCAGCUGGAACGUCGACGGCCACGACGUCGAAAUCCGGUGGUACCCUGGGACAGCGUGGGCACCGCACGAGCUCAUGUUCCUCACCUGCAACGUGAGGGCGAGCUUUGGUUGUCUCCUGGUGCACCCGAGGCUACCAAACAAAUCCAACGAAGAAAAGACCGUGUGGCAUGUGUUCAACCGCCCCAACGAAUGAGAGCUUGCUUAUACGACAACGACGGUGCCUGCGCCGGCAUCCAACAUGCACCAGCACUUCCGGGAGCUACUGCAGAACGGUACGGGAGCUGACGUCACGUUCCUCGUCUCCGGCAAGACCUUCGCGGCGCACAAGCUCGUGCCCGCCGCGAGAUCCCCCGUUUUCAUGGCCGAGUUCUUCGGCGACAUGAAGGAGAAGAGCUCCUGGAUCGUGGAGAUCAAGGACAUGGAGGCAGCCGUGUUCGGGGCGCUGCUGGAGUUUAUCUACACCGACAAUGUUCCUGAACUUGACCGGGAGCUGGAAGCCGUGGCAACGAUGGCUCAGCAUCUGCUUGCGGCGGCUGACAGGUACGGGCUGGACAGGCUCAAAAUUAUCUGCGAGGGCAAGCUCGUCGGUGGCAUCAGUGCAUCACCGUCGAGACGGCGGCGACUACUUUGGCUUUGGCUGAGCAGCACAAUUGUCCGCACCUCAAGGGGAAGUGCAUUGAGUUUAUCAUCAGUACUCCUGCGAUCCUUGAUGCCGUGGUGGCGACGGAGGGGUAUAAGCAUCCGGAGGCAAGCUGCCCUUCUGCGCUCACUAGCAUUGUCCUGUGCCUGUCUACGCGUGGGAGAAGGAACUGAAGCGUUGCUAGUCGGCUAG